rnacentral:rRNA from 1 species
GACGAAGGAUGCAAGCGUUAUCCGGAUUCAUUGGGUUUAAAGGGAGCGUAGGUGGCCUUAUAAGUCAGUGGUGAAAUCUCUGGGCUUAACCCAGAAUCUCCAUUGAUACUGUAGGGCUUGAGUACAGUUGCUGUGGGCGGAAUAUGACAUGUAGUGGUGAAAUACAUAGAGAUGUCAUAGAACACCGAUUGCGAAGGCAGCUCACAAAACUGUAACUGACACUGAGGCUCGAAAGUGCGGGGAUCAAACAGG